GAUGAACGCUAGCUACAGGCUUAACACAUGCAAGUCGAGGGGUAACGAGAGGAAAGCUUGCUUUCCUUGUUGACGACCGGCGCACGGGUGAGUAACGCGUAUCCAACCUGCCCCCAACUAGGGAAUAACCUUGCGAAAGUAAGACUAAUACCCUAUAAUUUCCUCAGAUGUCAUCUGACGAGGAAUAAAGAUUUAUCGGUUGUGGAUGGGGAUGCGUCUGAUUAGCUUGUUGGCGGGGUAACGGCCCACCAAGGCAACGAUCAGGAGGGGUUCUGAGAGGAAGGUCCCCCACAGUGGAACUGAGACACGGUCCAAACUCCUACGGGAGGCAGCAGUGAGGGAUAUUGGUCAAUGGGCGGAAGCCUGAACCAGCCAAGUAGCGUGCAGGAUGACGGCCCUAUGGGUUGUAAACUGCUUUUAUACAGGAAUAAAGUUAGCCACGUGUGGUUAUUUGUAGGUACUGUGUGAAUAAGGACCGGCUAAUUCCGUGCCAGCCGCCGCGGUAA
rnacentral:rRNA from 1 species